UAACAAUAAUGUACAACUGAAAUUUCAUAAGGAUGUAAACUAUCAUAAUCUUAAUAAAAAGUUUAACCAAAAAAAAAACCCAAAAACUUUCUCUUGUAGAAACCUGUCUCUUCCUUGCUUCCACCUCCUGACCUCCAGCUUACAAAGCCUCAUUCAUCUAAAACUACUCAGUUCCUGGUUGUCCCUUCCACUCUAGCUCCUGCCAUCAUCCUGGGAAAAUUCAUCUCCACCUCCAAAAUCUCAAAAAUUUCUGACAUCUAAGUGAAUAAAUGAAUGAAUCUCUAAUUCAGACAUCCCAUUCUCUGACCACAGCAUCCCAUCCUUCCGGCUUGUUUGCUCCAUCAUUCCUAUCUGCCUUAGUCUGCCCAGGCUGCAAUUAAGAAAGUACCACAGACUGGGUGGCUUAAAAGCAGAAAUUUGUUUUCUCACAGUUCUGGAGGCUGGAAGUCCAAGAUCAAGGUGCCAGCAGGGUCAGGUUCCGGGGAGGGCCUCUUUCUGCCUUGCCGAUGGCUGCCUUCUUGCUGUGUCCUCACAUGGCCUUUCCUUGGCAUGCAUGUAGAGGGAGAAAGAUCUCUCUCUCUUAUAAGACCUCUAAUUCCAUCAUGAGGGCUCCACCCUCAUGACCUAAUCUAACCCAAAUUACCUCCCAAAGACCCAUCUCCAAAUAUCAUCACAUUGGGAGUCAGGGCUUCAAUAUAUCAAUCUGGGGGGACACAAACAUCAGUCCAUAUACCAUCCUUAGCCUCAUUAGGCCUUAUGGUCUGUCAACCUUACUACUUUCUCCCCAGCUCUGUCUUCUCAGAUUAGAGAAUGUAAGCCAUCAUUUUAAUUUCUGUUGAGAGAGAGAGCAUUUCUUUCUCUUGCCAACACCCUCCACUUUACCCCUUUCACCCUUUGAUUGUAUUCAACUAGCAAAACAGUAGCAGCGAAUGAGCCUGAUUGUCGGUCUUCUCUCUCCCUGCACCCUAGACUGCUGGUCACUGCUUGAGAGUCGCAUGCCCAGGAAACCUGUACUGUGAAUUCGCAGUCGCCAGCCUCAAACUGGGUCUUUCACAGCACCCAGCACUCCUACCAGCUUUUUCUACUCAGCUUAUUUUCCAACUCUCACCAGUGGCUAUUUCUAACCUCCACUCUGCAUUCCUCCCUUCCUCCUACCUCCUAACAGAUCACUUCUCCUCCGUUUGGAGAAAGGAGAAGCCAUCAUAUGGCAGCUCCCCAAAACUUCUACCACCAAAUCUUUAACCUACACCCUCUCCUCCCCUUCAGCGAAACAAGUGUCCUGCACAGAGAUGGUAGAUGGAAGCCGCCAGCAGAUGGUAGAUGGAAGGCUAGUCCCUUAGCUCUGCCCCCAGAUCUGGGAGCAGCUGAAGACCACCCCCAGGUUCUGUGAUUCACUUGAAGCACUCAGAGACCUCAGAAGUUGAUAUACUCACAGCUAAAAUUUAUUACAGCAACAGGAUAUCAAGCAAGGCCUGGCUUCAACCUCCAUGGUGAAGCCUUCCAGCCACCCACCUUGGCUUCAGUUCCUGGCCAUUCCCAAUCCAGGUAUGUUUUUGGCUUUUGUUUGUUUGUUUUGAAGGAAUGGCCCCUGGAGACCUCUUCUACCUUUUGCAAGACUGGUGGUGCCUCACUGUGUGUGUCAACAAAGUUUCAGUUAUGGAGAUGUUGUAGGAGAGAGAGCCCCUCAGAACUUAGUCAUCCAUGACAACACAAGCAUAGCAUUCUCUAAAACUCUGCAAAAUCUUAAGUCUACUAAAAAUCCCAGAUGGGUGGGCCAAUGGGGGACAAAUUAUGUUAACUAAGAACCUUCAGAAGCAAAAGAGGAAACUACACAGAACAUCAAGUUUGGAAUGCAAAUUGUGCCAAGCCAGAGAGGCCAAUUUCUGGUCAGUGGCUCUCAGGCCAGACUCUGAUAUCUAUGAAGUGGUGUCAAUAGAGAUUGAGCUGCAUCCUUUCUUUGAACAG
rnacentral:lncRNA from 1 species